UGGUCCAUUGGAGUAGUGGUUAUCUCGUCUCCCUGUCACGGAGAAGAUCGUCGGUUCAAAUCCGUCAUGGACCGU
rnacentral:tRNA from 1 species